rnacentral:rRNA from 1 species
CCUACGGGAGGCAGCAGUGAGGAAUAUUGGUCAAUGGACGCAAGUCUGAACCAGCCAUGCCGCGUGCAGGAAGACGGCUCUAUGAGUUGUAAACUGCUUUUGUACGAGGGUAAACGCAGAUACGCGUAUCUGUCUGAAAGUAUCGUACGAAUAAGGAUCGGCUACCUCCGUGCCAGCAGACGCGGUAAUACGGAGGGUUCAAGCGUUAUCCGGAUUUAUUGGGUUUAAAGGGUGCGUAGGCGGUCGGAUAAGUUAGAGGUUAAAUCCCGAGGCUCAACUUCGGAAUUGCCUCUGAUACUGUUCGGCUAGAGAGUAGUUGCGGUAGGCGGAAUGUAUGGUGUAGCGGUGAAAUGCUUAGAGAUCAUACAGAACACCGAUUGCGAAGGCAGCUUACCAAGCUACUUCUGACGUUGAGGCACGAAAGCGUGGGGAGCAAACAGGAUUAGAUACCCUUGUAGUC